AACCAGCUCUUCAAGUGGUCGGGAUGAUUAUUGGGCUUAAAGUGUCCGUAGCCGGUUUAGUAAGUUCCUGGUAAAAUCAGGUAGCUUAACUAUCUGUAUGCUAGGAAUACUACUAUACUAGAGGGCGGGAGAGGUCUGAGGUACUAUAGGGGUAGGGGUGAAAUCUUAUAAUCCUUGUAGGACCACCAGUGGCGAAGGCGUCAGACUGGAACGUGCCUGGCGGUGAGGGACGAAAGCCAGGGGAGCGAACCGGAUUAGAUACCCGGGUAGUCCAGGCCGUAAACGAUGCAUACUAGGUGAUGGCCCGGCCAUGAGCCGUGUCAGUGCCGUAGGGAAACCGUUAAGUGUGCCGCCUGGGAAGUACGGUCGCAAGGCUAAAAACUUAAAGGAAUUGGCGGGGGAGCACCACAAGGGGUGAAGCCUGCGGUUC
rnacentral:rRNA from 1 species